rnacentral:rRNA from 1 species
UACGGAGGGUGCGAGCGUUGUCCGGAAUCACUGGGCGUAAAGGGCGCGUAGGCGGCCUGAUAAGUAGGGGGUGAAAUCCUGCGGCUUAACCGCAGGGCUGCCUUCUAAACUGUCAGGCUCGAGCACAGUAGAGGCAGGUGGAAUUCCCGGUGUAGCGGUGGAAUGCGUAGAGAUCGGGAAGAACAUCAGUGGCGAAGGCGGCCUGCUGGGCAGUUGCUGACACUGAGGCGCGACAGCGUGGGGAGCAAACAGG